UACGUAGGGCGCAAGCGUUGUCCGGAAUUAUUGGGCGUAAAGAGCUCGUAGGUGGUGUGUCGCGUCUGCCGUGAAAGCCCGGGGCUUAACUCCGGGUCUGCGGUGGAUACGGGCAGACUAGAGGCAGGUAGGGGAGAACGGAAUUCCCGGUGUAGCGGUGAAAUGCGUAGAUAUGCGGAGGAACACCGAUGGCGAAGGCAAUCCCCUGGACCUGUACUGACGCUCAUGCACGAAAGCGUGGGGAGCAAACAGG
rnacentral:rRNA from 1 species